GGGGGCGUAAAGGUUUCGACGGGGACUUUGAAUCACAAUAAGCGGGUAGAGCUGGCGUAAACUCUUAAAACUGCACCACGUUUUAAAUAUAAACGCUAGAAAUAAUAUUACAGUUAGCUCAAGAAGCUACGCUGUAGCAGCCUAAGUCUGCUACUGUCCUCCUUUUGAGAACCACGGCUUAAGGUUGGGCAUCGAUUAGUGGUGAACGUUCUUUUGGACUGUUCCGGCCAGAUGAAUGUAUAUGGAACUACUGAAACUGUAAGCCUGUUUGUCGGCGUAUAGCAGAGGGAAUGUUAAAAGAUAAACUACACUCGUAGAAAGUUGUGUGGAUUGGUUUUCGGACAUGUG
rnacentral:tmRNA from 1 species